rnacentral:rRNA from 1 species
UACAGAGGUGGCAAGCGUUGUUCGGAAUUAUUGGGCGUAAAGGGCGCGUAGGCGGCCAACUAAGUCGGACGUGAAAUCCCCGGGCUCAACCCGGGAACUGCGUCCGAUACUGGAUGGCUUGAAUCCGGGAGAGGGAUGUGGAAUUCCAGGUGUAGCGGUGAAAUGCGUAGAUAUCUGGAGGAACACCGGUGGCGAAGGCGGCAUCCUGGACCGGUAUUGACGCUGAGGCGCGAAAGCCAGGGGAGCAAACGGG